CUUGACAGAGAUGCUUUGGUGCCUUCGGGGAACUCUGAGACAGGUGCUGCAUGGCUGUCGUCAGCUCGUGUUGUGAAAUGUUGGGUUAAGUCCCGCAACGAGCGCAACCCUUAUCCUUUGUUGCCAGCGGUUAGGCCGGGAACUCAAAGGAGACUGCCAGUGAUAAACUGGAGGAAGGUGGGGAUGACCGUCAAGUCAUCAUGGCCCUUACGAGUAGGGCUACACACGUGCUACAAUGGCGCAUACAAAGAGAAGCGACCUCGCGAGAGCAAGCGGACCUCAUAAAGUGCGUCGUAGUCCGGAUUGGAGUCUGCAACUCGACUCCAUGAAGUCGGAAUCGCUAGUAAUCGUGGAUCAGAAUGCCACGGUGAAUACGUUCCCGGGCCUUGUACACACCGCCCGUCACACCAUGGGAGUGGGUUGCAAAAGAAGUAGGUAGCUUAACCUUCGGGAGGGCGCUUACCACUUUGUGAUUCAUGACUGGGGUGAAGUCGUAACAAGGUAGGCGUAGUGCU
rnacentral:rRNA from 1 species